CUGAGAGGGUGACCGGCCACACUGGGACUGAGACACGGCCCAGACUCCUACGGGAGGCAGCAGUGGGGAAUAUUGGACAAUGGGCGAAAGCCUGAUGCAGCGACGCCGCGUGAGGGAUGACGGCCUUCGGGUUGUAAACCUCUUUCAGUAGGGAAGAAGCGAAAGUGACGGUACCUGCAGAAGAAGCGCCGGCUAACUACGUGCCAGCAGCCGCGGUAAUACGUAGGGCGCAAGCGUUAUCCGGAAUUAUUGGGCGUAAAGAGCUCGUAGGCGGUUUGUCGCGUCUGCCGUGAAAGUCCGGGGCUCAACUCCGGAUCUGCGGUGGGUACGGGCAGACUAGAGUGAUGUAGGGGAGACUGGAAUUCCUGGUGUAGCGGUGAAAUGCGCAGAUAUCAGGAGGAACACCGAUGGCGAAGGCAGGUCUCUGGGCAUUACCUGACGCUGAAGAGCGAAAGUUUGGGGAGCGAACAGGAUUAGAUACCCUGGUAGUCCACGCCGUAAACGAUGAGUACUAGGUGUAGGAGGUAUCGACUCCUUCUGUGCCGCAGUUAACACAAUAAGUACUCCCCCUGGGAAGUACGAUCGCAGAUUAAACUCAAGGAU
rnacentral:rRNA from 1 species